CCACACAGACGAGAAACCAAAAAAUUAACUUGGAGCGAUUAUGAUAUGAUAGUAAUUGAAAAAAUAAAUUAAAGGUACAAAUAUAACCAAGCCUGCAACUAUAUAUCAGUUUCUAUCGAGUCAUACAGAAUAAAUUCUACACAAUUGAAAAGGAAAGGAAAAUCACAAUUAAGCUCUGCCAUCGAGUUCCACUCAGCAAUUGAAAAAUGCCAAAAACAUAAUAAACCGAAAAUAAGUAUGGGAAAAGAACCUUGGAAUUUGAGGAGAUUAAGAUUGGGAUUGGAUUUACAGAUGUCGAGGAACGACGAGGACUUGAUAUCUGUCGGCGAGAGCAAAUUCAGAGCCAUGGUGUGUCACUCUACUGCCAGUUAAAGAAUCUUACACUGAGUAUUGAAAUUUGAAAAUGGAAGGUUUGUGUUAAUUCAAGAAUAUAAAAUCUUUACAAGUGCAGGAGACGAGACUAAACUUCCGGAGAGAUUUUGGAUGGAUAACAGAUAGUGACGAACUUCAGGGAGAGAGAGAGAGAGAGAUAUAGGAAGAGACAGACAGAGUGAGUUGUCAGAUGUAAGUACUGUGGAUUACUUUGUGUCUCACGAGGAGCAACCUACGAGAAGUUAAAAUCAAGAAAAUAAUGGAUAUAAAUCAAUUUUUCAUCAUUGAUUUAUUUUAUUCUUCGUUGACUUUCUAAUUCGC
rnacentral:lncRNA from 1 species